GGUCUUAUGUUCGAUCAUGUUAUGUUUUGUUUUUUGGACUCUUGUUUCCUGUUUUGCACUUCCUGGUUUUGUUUUGUUUCCAUAGUAACCCAUUAGUUUCCACCUGGUCUCCUAGUCACGACCUGGUCCUCAGCCCUCACAUCUGUUUUUAAUAAUCACAGCUGGUAUUUAAGCCAUUUGUUUUCUGUUCCUAGGCCUGGCAACUUUACCGGAUGUACCUACUGAACCUUACCUACCCUCAUGGCCACGCACCUGCCUGACCCUCAUUUACCUUCAUGCCUAGCCACGCUGUUGUUGUUCUGUUUAUACCACGCCUGGCAACUUUACCGGAUGUACCUACUGAACCUUACCUACCCUCAUGGCCACGCACCUGCCUGACCCUCAUCUACCUUCAUGCCUAGCCACGCUGUUGUUGUUCUGUUUAUACCACGCCUGGCAACUUUACCGGAUGUACCUACUGAACCUUACCUACCCUCAUGACAACGCACCUGCCUGACCCUCAUCUACCUUCAUGCCUAGCCACGCUGUUGUUGUUCUGUUUAUACCACGUAAGAUUUUUGGUUUGUUUUGUGCCACAGUUAGUAUCUUUUUUUCCUUUGUAUAUAUAGUCAUGCCAUUGUGCUGUUUUUGUUUGAAGUAUAGUCUAGUUUAUUCUCUGCCACUUUGCGCGCCCUUUGUUUUUCUGUUUUGAAUUAUAGUGUUAAAUAAAUUAAUCAUGUACUUACAUUCACG